rnacentral:rRNA from 1 species
UACGAAGGGGGCUAGCGUUGCUCGGAAUCACUGGGCGUAAAGGGUGCGUAGGCGGGCCUUUAAGUCAGGGGUGAAAUCCUGGAGCUCAACUCCAGAACUGCCUUUGAUACUGGAGAGCUUGAGUCCGGGAGAGGUGAGUGGAACUGCGAGUGUAGAGGUGAAAUUCGUAGAUAUUCGCAAGAACACCAGUGGCGAAGGCGGCUCACUGGCCCGAUACUGACGCUGAGGUGCGAAAGCGUGGGGAGCAAACAGG